rnacentral:rRNA from 1 species
AGGAGCUUGCUCCUUUGACGUUAGCGGCGGACGGGUGAGUAACACGUGGAUAACCUACCUAUAAGACUGGGAUAACUUCGGGAAACCGGAGCUAAUACCGGAUAAGAUUUUGAACCGCAUGGUUCAAUAGUGAAAGACGGCCUUGCUGUCACUUAUAGAUGGAUCCGCGCCGUAUUAGCUAGUUGGUAAGGUAACGGCUUACCAAGGCAACGAUACGUAGCCGACCUGAGAGGGUGAUCGGCCACACUGGAACUGAGACACGGUCCAGACUCCUACGGGAGGCAGCAGUAGGGAAUCUUCCGCAAUGGGCGAAAGCCUGACGGAGCAACGCCGCGUGAGUGAUGAAGGUCUUCGGAUCGUAAAACUCUGUUAUCAGGGAAGAACAAACGUGUAAGUAACUGUGCACGUCUUGACGGUACCUGAUCAGAAAGCCACGGCUAACUACGUGCCAGCAGCCGCGGUAAUACGUAGGUGGCAAGCGUUAUCCGGAAUUAUUGGGCGUAAAGCGCGCGUAGGCGGUUUUUUAAGUCUGAUGUGAAAGCCCACGGCUCAACCGUGGAGGGUCAUUGGAAACUGGAAAACUUGAGUGCAGAAGAGGAAAGUGGAAUUCCAUGUGUAGCGGUGAAAUGCGCAGAGAUAUGGAGGAACACCAGUGGCGAAGGCGACUUUCUGGUCUGUAACUGACGCUGAUGUGCGAAAGCGUGGGGAUCAAACAGGAUUAGAUACCCUGGUAGUCCACGCCGUAAACGAUGAGUGCUAAGUGUUAGGGGGGUUUCCGCCCCUUAGUGCUGCAGCUAACGCAUUAAGCACUCCGCCCUGGGGAGUAACGACCGCAAAGGUGAAACUCAAAGGAUUUGCGGGGACCCGC